rnacentral:rRNA from 1 species
GACGAACGCUGGCGGCGUGCUUAACACAUGCAAGUCGAACGGGAAGGCCUUGUUUUUGUGGGGUGCUCGAGUGGAGAACGGGUGAGCAUCACGUGAGUAACCUGACCUCGACUUUGGGAUAACUUCAGGAAACUGGGGGCAAUACCGGAUAGGAGCUCAUGCUGCCUGGUGGGGGCUGGAAAGUUUCGGCGGUUGGGGAUGGACGCGCGGCUUAUCAGCCUGUUGGUGGGGUAGUGGCUUACCAAGGCUUUGACGGGUAUAGGGCCUGAGAGAGUAACCGGCCACAUUGGGACAGAGAUACGGCCCAGACACUUACGGGAGGCAGCAGUGGGGAAUAUUGCACAAAGAGCGGAAGCCUGAUACGGCAACGCGCCGUGCGGGAUUACAACCUUCGGGUGGCAAGCCGCUUUCUCCUGUGACGAGGAAUGAUUAACGGUAAUGAGGAAAGAAGCACCGGCAAACUACGG